GUUCACUGCCGGAUAGGCAGCCAAGGAA
rnacentral:other from 1 species